rnacentral:rRNA from 1 species
UCUGGCCCCUCGGGGUCCGAGUUGUAAUUUGUAGAGGAUGCUUUUGGUGAGGUGCCGCCCGAGUUCCCUGGAACGGGACGCCACAGAGGGUGAGAGCCCCGUCUGGCUGGCCACCGAGCCUCUGUAAAGCUCCUUCGACGAGUCGAGUAGUUUGGGAAUGCUGCUCAAAAUGGGAGGUAUAUGUCUUCUAAAGCUAAAUAUUGGCCAGAGACCGAUAGCGCACAAGUAGAGUGAUCGAAAGAUGAAAAGCACCUUGAAAAGAGGGUUAAAUAGUACGUGAAAUUGUUGAAAGGGAAGCGCUUGUGACCAGACUUGGGCGCGGCGGAUCAUCCGGGGUUCUCUCCGGUGCACUUCGCCACGUCCAGGCCAGCAUCAGUUCGUCGCGGGGGAAAAAGGCUUCGGGAACGUGGCUCCUCCGGGAGUGUUAUAGCCCGUUGCAUAAUACCCUGCGGUGGACUGAGGACCGCGCAUCUGCAAGGAUGCUGGCGUAAUGGUCACCAGCGACCCGUCUUGAAACACGGACCAAGGAGUCGUCUUCGUAUGCGAGUGUUCGGGUGUCAAACCCCUACGCGUAAUGAAAGUGAACGCAGGUGAGAGCUU